GUGCCAGCCGCCGCGGUAAUACGUAGGGUGCGGGCGUUAAUCGGAAUUACUGGGCGUAAAGCGUGCGCAGGCGGCUCCUUAAGUCAGAUGUGAAAUCCCCGGGCUUAACCUGGGAACUGCGUUUGAUACUGAGGGGCUUGAGUGUGGAAGAGGGGGGUGGAAUUCCAGGUGUAGCAGUGAAAUGCGUAGAGAUCUGGAGGAACACCGAUGGCGAAGGCAGCCCCCUGGGCUAACACUGACGCUCAUGCACGAAAGCGUGGGGAGCAAACAGGAUUAGAUACCCUUGUAGUCC
rnacentral:rRNA from 1 species